AUGCCAGCUGUGAAACAAAGUGAUACUGCUAGGUUUGCACAGGUUUGGUUGCUAUAGAAACAGCAAAACAGUAAGAACUGGAAGUCUCACAUUUAAGUUAUAAGCUGUAAAAAAGAACAGACAAAGCCCUGCUGAAAAAUGUGUUUGAGGCUUGAUUGCCCAAAAAACAAUUACACAAAGAAUGAGGUCAACAGCAACAAACUGGAGAGAAAAUUUGAAGCAUCUGCAGCAAGGGGUGUAGAUGCUGAUAUAAUUUGGCAAGUUCUUUACAAGAAUAAUAGAACCCCUUCGCCAUCAAGGAAUUAUGCAAGUGGAACAACUGAGAAAUAAGAUUUAGGACCUCCUAGAGAUGAAGAAAAGCAGGAAGCAACUGUGAUCACCUGAAACCUGAGACCCUGCGCCUUCCUUUGUUUGAGGUAAUUUGCAUCAUCACAGAUCCUCACAGGAGAUGAGAGACUUCAUACCAGCUAUGAACUGACUGCCGAGUAGAGUUUUCCAUCUAUUGACACCUCUGUGAAAUCCUAUGAAAUAUGAACUUUCAUUUCUACCCAGAACUUCUACAAUCUUUUCUCUGAUGCCUGAUGAAGGGUGUUUGUGCCUAAAA